rnacentral:rRNA from 1 species
ACGCUGGCGGCGUGCCUAAUACAUGCAAGUCGAACGCUUUUCUUUCACCGGAGCUUGCUCCAUCGAAAGAGAAAGAGUGGCGGACGGGUGAGUAACACGUGGGUAACCUGCCCAUCAGAGGGGGAUAACACUUGGAAACAGGUGCUAAUACCGCAUAAUUCCAGUGACCGCAUGGUCGCCGGAUAAAAGACGCUUCGGUGUCACUGGUGGAUGGACCCGCGCUGCAUUAGUUAGUUGGUGGGGUAACGGCUUACCAAGACCGUGAUGCAUAGCCGACCUGAGAGGGUGAUCGGCCACACUGGGACUGAGACACGGCCCAGACUCCUACGGGAGGCAGCAGUAGGGAAUCUUCGGCAAUGGACGGAAGUCUGACCGAGCAACGCCGCGUGAGUGAAGAAGGUUUUCGGAUCGUAAAACUCUGUUGUUAGAGAAGAACAAGUGAGAGAGUAACUGUUCUCACCUUGACGGUAUCUAACCAGAAAGCCACGGCUAACUACGUG